CCUAUAGUCCAAGGUACUUAGAGGGCUGAGGCAGGAGGAUCACUUGAACCCAGGAGUUCUGGUCUCUAGUGUGCUGUGCCCGUUGGGUGUCCACAUUAAGUUUGGCAUUAGUGUGGUGACCUCCAAGGAGUGGGGAACUACCAGGUUGCCUAAGGAGAAGUGAACUGGUCCCAAACAAAGCAGUUCAAAACUCCCAUGCUGAUCAGUAGUAGGACAGCACCCAUGAACAGCCACUAUACUCUAUCUAGUCUGGGCAACAUAGGUGAAACUCCCUCUCU
rnacentral:SRP_RNA from 1 species